UGCUGGACUUGAGGUGAUGAGUUGCAGAAUGCUGUUAAUAAUGUCAGUGAUCAGCAUUGGUGUUCUUGUGGCUUCUUAUGGAGAGAUAAAUAUCAGCUGGAUUGGAGUUGUGUAUCAGAUGGGUGGAGUUGUUGGAGAAGCCUUGAGACUUAUUUUCAUGGAGAUUCUAGUGAAAAGGAAGGGUUUGAAAUUAAAUCCUAUAUCUGUUAUGUAUUAUGUUAGUCCCUGCAGUGCCCUUUGCCUGUUUAUUCCUUGGAUCUUUCUAGAGAAACCANNNNNACAUUCAUGGAACUUUCAGCCUCUUGUGCUAACACUGAAUUCUCUUUGUACAUUUGCACUUAACCUAUCAGUUUUCCUUGUGAUCUCGCAUACCAGUGCUCUGACU
rnacentral:misc_RNA from 1 species